rnacentral:rRNA from 1 species
UACGUAGGGUCCGAGCGUUGUCCGGAAUUAUUGGGCGUAAAGGGCUCGUAGGCGGUUUGUCGCGUCGGGAGUGAAAACGCCGGGCUUAACCCGGUGCUUGCUUUCGAUACGGGCAGACUGGAGGUAUGCAGGGGAGAACGGAAUUCCUGGUGUAGCGGUGAAAUGCGCAAAUAUCAGGAGGAACACCGGUGGCGAAGGCGGGUCUCUGGGCCGAUACUGACGCUGAGGAGCGAAAGCGUGGGGAGCGAACAGG